rnacentral:lncRNA from 1 species
AGAAGUAGGAGUAGAGUUUAGUUUACUUUUAUCUUCAGACAUGAUUGUAGUACAGCACACAGCUUAUAAGCCCCACACAGGUGGCACGCAGGCCACACACGAUAACUUAACACACACUAGCGUCACCUUAUUUACCGUCGUCCUCAUCGAUCGGGUGGCGCACUCCUGCAAUCUACUCCAGACGUGAUAUAGAUUCUCUACUUUUCGAUGCACAGCAGCACGAGCAUAACAACGCUCAUCGCCAAAGAGAGGAGCCAAAGUAUCAGCAGCGCAACGUCCUGCAGCAGUUGAGCUAAACGGGUCAGUUCAGUUCAGUUCAGCAGCGAUACCAUUAAUUACCAGCAUGCAAGCACAUGUUCAAUCUCAACUCAUCGGGAAUAGUAAAGCUGCAAACAUCGCUCGUUGGAAAAUAGUGAGUUUUCUUAGGAAAUUAUGGAAAUCAGUACUAUACUUGAGAAGAUCAGAUUCUGGUCUUCUAGAUUGUCAAGCACAUUACCGCUGCUGCCGGCGCCGGAGAAUUGGCCACGUUGUUCACUGCAAGAGCUACCAUCAGCAGAGCCAGGAAGGUCUUCCCAACGACCAGAAACAUCAUGCAACACUUGUUGUCCUUCUUCUUCUUCUUCCAGGCAUUGGCAUUCGCUGCAGAAGCAGCCUGCAGCAGUCAGCUCAACAGGUCAGCUCAGUUACCAGCAUUCAAGCACAUGUUCCAUCUCUAGUCAUCGGCGAUAGUAAAGCUGCACUCAAGCACAUGUUCAUCAUGAAAAUUAACAAGGGUUUUUAUCUGCAGCUUCUAUGGAAUAUAGUACCCCCCUCAGAUUCAUAUUACUUGUCGCCCGUUUAGUACAACUUCUAUGAAAAUUAACAAGGGUUGUUCACAAGCGAUCAGGUACUUCUUUUUAGAAACACUUUUAGAAAAUGAAGGAAAACAGUACUUUUGAGAAAAUCACUGGCAUAACAAUGAUUGUGAAGCACAUUACCGCUGCUCCCGGCGCCGGAGGAUUGGCCGCCGCCACUGCCGGUGGAUUGGCCACGUUGUUGGCCGCUGCGGCUGCCGGAGGAGCGUCCAUGGUGUCCGAGCACGCUUGCGGAGAGAGCGGUAAGAGAUGGAGCAGAGUAUGCGCUGUGGAGCGGAGGGUUUUCUGUAACCAACGAUGGAAUGAACCGAGCAAGCAGUAGUAGUAGUGGCCAGCGGCCAACCGAUGGAGUAGAUCGACAAUAAUUU